GAAAAGAGCAGAAAAAAACCUGUUUCUUCACCACGAGCAGAGCCAGAAAAGGUAGAAUCAGAAAGUAAUGAAAUUUCUGAUUUACCACCACCAUUAAAAUCAACAGGAGCUUUUUAGAAUCUAAGUCACUUCCUCAACUUCCUUUCCAAUUAAUAUGAUUAUCAUUAAAAUUGAAUUCAGACAUUUC